ACACCCGCAGUCCGAGUGGCAGUCGAGUUUAUUGGGCCUAAAGCGUCCGUAGCCGGUCUGGCAAAUGCCUGGGUAAAUCGUCUGGCUCAACCAGACGAAUUCCGGGUAGACUGCCAGACUUGGGACCGGUUGAGGGAGAGGGUACUCCAGGGGUAGGAGUGAAAUCCUGUAAUCCUUGGAGGACCACCAGUGGCGAAAGCGCUCUCCCAGGACGGGUUCGACGGUGAGGGACGAAAGCCAGGGGAGCGAACCGGAUUAGAUACCCGGGUAGUCCUGGCCGUAAACGAUGCGGGCUUGGCAUUGGGGAUCCUACGAGGGUGUCCAGUGCCGAAGCGAAGGCGUUAAGCCCGCCGCCUGGGAAGUAUGGUCGCAAGGCUGAA
rnacentral:rRNA from 2 species